rnacentral:rRNA from 1 species
CUAGCUGUAAACGAUGGAUACUAGGCGUUGAGAGUAUCGACCCUCUCAGUGUCGUAGCUAACGCGUUAAGUAUCCCGCCUGGGGAGUACGCGCGCAAGCGUGAAACUCAAAGGAAUUGACGAGGGCCCGCACAAGCGGUGGAGUAUGUGGUUUAAUUCGAUGCAACGCGAAGAACCUUACCAGGGCUUGACAUGUCCGGAACCCUGCCCAAAGGCGGGGGUGCCUACGGGAACCGGAACACAGGUGGUGC